UAUACACAACGGUCCAAUAAAAUAUGUCAAGUCAUUGGCAUCAUUAACAGGGAUCUUUAUGGGGAUUUUAUAGUUUACGACUUAUCGUUAGUCGUGUACACAACGUUGUAACGACCGCCAGGACUAACCGGGCCGGCUCCGCGGGCGGCGGGGGGUGGGUCGGAGGAAACCCCGUUAAGACAAUAUUAUGAAUUCCGAAAUCGUCGGUGUACACAAUACGCGUGUACGCGUGCGCGCGUGUAGCGUACCCGUUUUCGGAUCGGUCACAAUGGAAAAUAUCGUAGCCGGCGUUUCGUCCGCGCGCGACAGUAAACAAUUCGUACACCAGCGAAAACGAAUUAUGCGCGAUUCUGGCCGUAGGCGGGGUGAGUCGACAGCGAUCGAAAGAAAUAAAAAAAAAAGACGAAAAUCAAAUUUACCAGGAAAGUCGCUGGACCACGGAUAACGGAAUUCCCCCUGAAUAUUUUCGUUAUUUUGUUUCCUUAGUUAAUACNAAAAAAAAAAAAAAAAAAAAAAAAAAAACGAAAAUCAAAUUUACCGAGAAAGUCGCUGGACCACGGAUAACGGAAUUCCCCCUGAAUAUUUUCGUUAUUUUGUUUCCGUAGUUAAUACCGACCGCUUGUUUAUGACGGAAUGAUAAAAAAAAAAAAAAAAUCCCCUUAUACCACGCGUAAAUUUUAUUGUUUAUUUGACGAUCGUUAUUGUUUAAAUAUUAUCGAAAGAUAAUGUAACCCACAAACGUUUCGUCCUUACCCCGAAUUCGACCAUAUUUAUACCUAUACAGGGUGACUGUUUUUUCACAAACUAGUUAUAUCUCUUCAGAGUGUUUUGAGUAUAUUAUACGAAAUUAUUUAGUUGCUAUUUUUUUCACCUUUCCGGAAUCGUUUUAUAUUUUAUCAUUACAACAAUGAUUGUUUAAAAAAGAUUCUAUAAAACAGUGAAAACUUAAUGACAACAAAAAAUGAAUAAAAACUGUUGCCAAUGACAAUCUUAUUUUUAAUUUUUCAAUCAUUUUUAACCUUAUUCGUUAUAUCCGUUAUUUCGGAUAUUAAUAAGAAUUUCGAAAAAUGACUUCUCCAAUGUACAACCCAGAGAGCGUUUCCUUUCGGAAAAAUGUACAGAUUAAAAAAAAAAAAAAUAAAAUAAACAUCGUCGUAAAUUCAAUACAUUCCUCGCUCCAUUCGAAAUCUAAAAUUGAAUUAUCUUAAAAUCGAUAGUCUUUAUGUACCUGCACCGUGAAGAUAUAUGCGGAG